AGUUUUAUAAUAUGCAUCAUAUUUAUUCUAUCAGCAUUUAAUUCAGUCACAAAAUGUUUAGAAAGAAAAUUUUAAAAUUACAAAAGCAUCCAAUAUUUCAAAGUAGAUCAUUAAAAUGAUUUGUAUACAUUUAUACAAAUUAUAAUAACUGUUCAUGUGUUUUCUUGACCACAUAGCUUUUAACUAGAAUUGGAACUGAGAAGAAACAGCUUUUCCAAAGAUCCUUGUGUGACUGAAUUGCAGAUGAUGGGCUCAAGUCACUCCCCAAUAGGAUGUGUUCUUCCAGGCCCUUGGCCCAUCACUCACCCAAGAAUGGGGGAGAGGACCCACCAGGCAUGAAGCCACGAACAAAAUAAUCGACAAGGAGAAUUGCACAGCACAGAGUUGUUGCCUUCUUGGAGUACCAGUGACACCAGCAUCUGAAAUAUAGAUUGAGAACAUGUCGGAACCUAACCCAUUUAUCACAGUAGUCACAGGGUCAUUCAACUACAAUGGUAGGGCCAGA
rnacentral:lncRNA from 13 species